UGGUUUCGAAGAGGAAAAGAACUUUAACGUGGUUUUAAAUUCGGUCAUUGCUGGGCGGUACCAUGUCACUGAGUACCUUGGAUCAGCAGCCUUCAGUAAAGCCAUACAAGCGCAUGACUUACAGACAGGAAUGGAUGUCUGUAUAAAGAUUAUAAAGAACAACAAAGACUUCUUUGACCAGAGUCUUGACGAGAUAAAACUUUUGAAGUAUGUCAACAAGCAUGAUCCUGCUGACAAAUACCAUCUUCUACGGUUGUAUGAUUACUUUUACUACCGGGUAAGUGAUUACAUCCCUUUUGCAAAAUUUGGUUUUGCUACUGUAUAUCAAAAGUGACCAAUUGUGUCUUUCUCUUCAACAAUUUUAGCACAAGUGUGAACCAUAUGCCUUUUAUUUAAUACCUUUGCAAUAUUUCUCUUUGUGGAUUGUUUGGUGUAACGGAUUCCCUGAAUGUUCUUUGCAGGAGCACUUGCUAAUUGUAUGUGAACUUCUUAAGGCCAAUCUAUACGAGUUCCACAAAUUUAACAGAGAAUCAGGUGGUGAAGUUUAUUUCACGAUGCCAAGGUUGCAGGUUUGUCCACUUUAUCAUUACCAUACAUCAUAGAUAUGUAUAUGUAUCCGAUUCCUGAUCUCUUUGGGACCGUUCUGUACAGUCAAUCACUAUCCAGUGUCUCGAAUCACUUCAGUUUCUACAUGGCCUUGGACUUAUACACUGUGAUUUGAAGCCUGAGAAUAUAUUGGUGAAAAGCUAUAGCAGAUGUGAAAUAAAAGUCAUUGACCUUGGAAGUAGCUGUUUCGAGACAGACCACCUAUGCUCCUAUGUCCAGUCAAGGUCAUAUCGAGCACCAGAAGUCAUUUUGGGACUUCCUUAUGAUAAAAAGAUAGAUGUGUGGUCUCUUGGGUGCAUUUUAGCUGAACUAUGUACAGGCAACGUAAGUCCUGCAUUUCCAUUGACUUGGUGCAUUUCUGAUUUUUGCUUCAUCAUGUAUUAUUUUUUCUCAUGCAAAAUACGUUUCGAAGAGAUAGAAAAUUUCCAUAUCCGCAUAAAUUUGUUUUCUUACAUGGGAACUUGAUUCUCGGGCUAUUAAGUAAACAGAAAUUUACCAGAAACUUGUGUCAUUUAUACUAACACUUGAUGGAGUUAAAGGUAACUGCAUCAUUGAUGUUCUGGAGUGUCAGCUGGUUAUUCAUAUUGUCUGGGUUGGUUGUUGAUUUUUGAGGACAAGAAGGUGAAUCCGUGUUUAAAUAUCGAGUUACUUUUGCAGGUUCUCUUCCAGAAUGAUUCGCCGGCCAGUUUGCUAGCAAGGGUUAUGGGAAUCGUAGGAUCUUUCGAUAAUGAAAUGCUUACCAAGGGACGUGAUUCCCACAAAUACUUCACAAAAAACCGAAUGCUCUAUGAGCGGAACCAGGUUAGUGUUUCCAGAGACCUUAAAGGAACAUUCCCUGAACUCCAAAAACUCUGCAACUCUUAAGUUGAAUGGAAGAAACAUAUGCUAAUAAAGAACAUUCUCUCUGGAAAAAUUGUUUGUUCAGGAAAGCAACAGAUUGGAGUACCUGAUACCAAAAAGAACAUCGUUGAGACAUCGGCUGCCAAUGGGAGACCAAGGAUUCACAGACUUUGUGGCUCAUCUUCUUGAGAUAAACCCAAAGAAGCGUCCUUCUGCAGCAGAGGCUCUGAAGCACCCUUGGCUUUCAUACCCAUACGAGCCAAUCUCUGCUUAAACAACUGGUGUCUUUACUUAAGCUACUAAAAGCCGCAAAACCUCAGAUUAAUGGAAACCUCAUAUGUGCAAAGGUUCAAGCCCCUUUGGUGGGUGACCCUUAAUACAAGUUGUGGCUGUCUCCUUCAGUCAAAAUGUGAGCUGAAAAGAAGAAAACUUUUGUGAAAUUUGAUUAGAGUGUAACACUGUGUUGUCAAACUUGUGAUUAUUAUCCUCCUAGAACAGACUAAGUAGUAGAACUCUUUUUUGUAUCAUCUGCUGAUCCUUAGUAGUUUAGUCAUUUGAUUAUGAUUUAUAAAUGUCAUUUAUGUAAUUUAUAUAUAUACAGGGUACUGAUCAUUUUAGGUGUCAUAUAUAGAAGUAAAUUUCAGAGAGUGCUGUGCGGGAGAAUCUCCUUUGGUGGUCAUUGUAAGGUGGUGAAUGGUAUUAUCAAUGGGACAUAAAAAAAAAUUGGUUCUCGGGUUCUUAGUGUUGUAGGUUCGAGAGAGUCCAUUGUUCUCUUUUGUGGUUUAUCUUUGUCUCUGUUCUGUUUCUAACAUCUCCCAAUUCAGUACCAAUAAUUAGUGGAACAAAAAAAAAAUACUUUUAUAGUCCACACUCUAAAACAUGACUAAAGAGAUUCGGAAGCGACUUUAGGUCACAAACUUUUGGAAGGAUUACAAUAUUUUUGAAUUGAUUGAUAGUUUUAAAUGUAUAACAAAUGAAAAUUUGCGGAAUAAAAAUUUAUAAGGAAAAAAUUGCAUUAUGAAAUAACGAAUUACCUUUUUUAUAUUGAAAAUAACUAUCUUUGGAUUGUAAACAAAAUUUCGUGUAAAAUUUUCUAAAGAAAGCAAUUGGAAUCAUAAUAAUCUAUGAAAUUUAGCAAUAUGGUAUCAUUUUAAAAAAUUCAGUACAAGACAAUUUUGUAAUAUUGGAAGAAAGAACCCUAAUUUUAAAUUUAGGAAUUUUUUUAAGUUUACCAGUGAAUGUCCGAAAUGAUUACAUCCAUUGAAACCUCAACGUGCGUGUCUUCUCCUUGCUUCUUCUUCCUCGUUUGAUCUGUAAACGCAUUUCCUCCUUCGCCGUGCCUGAAGAAGUUUCAUCUCUCGUUGGAUCCACUCUUGUUCCUCCUUGUCUUCUUAAAUUUUUAUUUUUAUUUUUCUGGUUCUCCGGAUCUCCAGACUCUUCGAUGGCGCGUUUGGAGCAUGAUUUCUAAGGAUUUUUAGGGUUUUUAUGCUCUUAUUGAAGUUCGCAUCUGCUGCAUCGUUCCGUAUGAGCAAACGUGAGUCUGGUUUGCCGGAAAAAACUUGUUUCUGAAAUGUGACUGAAAGUAUUGGUUUUGGGCAGAUUUUGAUUCUUCUAAUGUCUUUUGGUAGAAAGAUUCUUCAAAUUGUUUUCGUUAGAGGGUUCUGGGUAUCAGACAACAUCUGAACAGAGAAAAGUUUUCAUCUUUGUUGGGUACAGGAUUGGUGGAGUUUUAUUGCCAGUGCUUCUCCUGUAUAUUGUAAAUGACGGACCAGAGCUCUGUUGAUGGGAUUUUAGAGUUUCUUAGGAAUAAUCGCUUCUCUCAAGCUGAGGAAGCUUUGCGUAAUGAGCUUAAUAACCGGUCUGACAUUAAUGGCUUUCUUCAGAAACUUAAGCUGGAGGAUAAAGAUUCAAAUGAAAAGGCUGCUGGUAAUGAACUUCGGAGGUCAGGUUCUCGAGAUAGUGAAGUCUCCAAGGAGCUGAUUGUGAAAGAGGUAGACUGUGGGACUAGCACCAAUGGGUCUGUUAUCAAGUGGGAAAAUGGUGCGACGGCGGACAAUCCGAGCAAGAAGGAACCAGUUGUAUCAAGUGAGAUGAGCUUUACAUUCUCCAAGAAUUCAGGUGAUGCUGCUGCUCCUCCUGAUGCCCAUUCCUAUAAAUUUACUUCCAGAAAUGGCACCGUGGAGCCUUCUCGAAACAUUGAUGAUAGUAGUAGUAGCAGCUUGGUGGAUUUAUAUGCAUUCGAACAGUCGAGGCAUGGGAAUUUCGCUGAUAUCGAUAAGAAGAUAGUGGAAACUGGUGAAGAUAUCGUUUUCUUUGGCAAUAAGAGUACUUCAUGGUCUGGAAAUUCUAGUAAAGGGAACUCCGGGUCGAAAAUAAAGGAACCAAAUGAGAUUCAUCGGCUUGUUGAAAACUCUGGAAAGCAUGACAGCUAUAAGGGUAGCAUUCUUUUAAGAUCUGAAGAUGUCGUAGAUACCUCAGCGAACUGGAGAGAGUGUUCUGUUAAGACUCUUUUUCAAUCUUCGAGAGGGGAUGCGUCAAACAGUUACAAUCUGGUUAGCAGCUCGGACAAGAGAGAGGGAAAGAAGAAGGCAGACAUUAGUGAUGUGAGGGUGGCAAUCAAGGAGCAGGAGAGUGAGGUGGCAAGAGCUUUAUUCUUUGGUAAAUCUCAAUCCACUUUUGAUGACAAAAAUAUCAGCAGCUUAGGUUUUCCACUUGUAUAUGAUACCCGCAAGGAAGAGUUUCCUAGGCUUCCUCCUGUUAAGCUCAAGUCUGAAGACAAUCCUCUGAGUCUUCACUGUGAAGAAAAAUUUGAACGUGAUGGUUCAGGUCCAAGGCUAAUCAAUGAUGAGGACGCCCUUCUCAUAGGCUCAUACCUUGAUGUUCCCAUUGGACAAGAAAUUAGCUCAUCAGGUUAGAUUGCAUGACAAUGUAGCCGUACAACUGCAAAGUUUCCAUUGUGACUGCUGAAUGACAGUGCAUGCAUUUUUCUCAUAUCCUUCAUUCCUAUAGGAACUACUGUGGUUAUCAUAUUUCUACUCUGCGAAUCUGCUGAAGUAACAUGUUUGAAUUUUGAUGAACUCAUGAAUUAGAACAAUGCAUUGGCAAAUUACCAGCAUCAGUUCCAAAGAAAGCAAGUAAUUGUUUAGCUUUUUGCAUUUAUCUGCAAAUGUUUGCUCUCAUUGUCUUCCUUUCCCACUCUGUUUUUUUUUUUUGAUUUCUAUAAGGACCAUGUCGCUUCACUUUCUACUUUUUUUUUAGUUCAACUUGAACCUUACCAGUUUUACUUCAGGUGUGAAAGUAAGUUUUAAUCUCCUAAUUAUUUCAUAUAGGUGGGAAAAAAUCUACUGGGGGAAACUGGCUUUCAGUAAGUCAGGGAAUAGCAGAGGACGCAUCUGAUCUUGUUUCGGGUUUUGCUACUAUUGGUGAUGGUUUAAGUGAAUCUGUUGACUAUCGUAAUGAAUACUGGGACUCUGAUGAGUAUGAGGAUGAUGACGACAUUGGUUAUGUCAGACAACCUAUUGAAGAUGAACCAUGGUUUCUUGCCCAUGAAAUUGAUUAUCCAAGUGAUCAUGAGAAAGGAACGACCCGUGGAAGUCCUGAUCACCAUGAAAGAGAUGCAAACAAAGACGCAGAUGAUCAGUCUUAUGCCGAGGAGGCUUCUUAUAUAUCUGGAGAACAGUAUCUCCAAUCAAAAGAUGCUGAACCUAUUUCUUCAGAAAAUGACCGAAGACUUACAGUCUCAGAAAUUUAUCCAGCUAGCAAGAAAAAUGAUUUAUUAGCCCAAUAUGAUGGGCAUUUAAUGGAUGAGGAAUUGCUCAGUUCGAUGCGUGAUGAGCCUGUUUGGCAGGGGUUUGUAGCUCAGUCAAAUGAACUUCUCAUGUUAGGUGAUAAGAAAGGCAUAAAUGUCCAUCGAAAAUCUCAUCGUGAUGAUGUUUACGUCGAAGAUGAUCAGCAUGAUUCGGUCAGGUCAAUUGGCGUGGGUAUUAAUAGUGAUGCAGCUGAUUUUGGCAGUGAAGUACGUGACAGUUUGGCUGGAGGUAGCAGUGAGGGAGAUUUUGAGUACUCCCGUGAUCAUGAUCCUGUAGCAUCCAGGUUUAAACAACUUUACUCCGAGUCAGAUAAGAAACAUAUUGAUGCCCCAAACAAGAAUAAACAACAAGCAAGUAAAAAUGAUGGUCCAGAUUACAUUGCAGAUAAUGAUUCAAGCGGAAGUUUUCAUGUGAAGAUUCAAACUGAUGGUGGUUUUUCGUUUGGUUCGUCCCAAAAAGAUGGGCAGUCAAUGCAUGCGGAAUCUAGUAAAUCAUUAUGGUCAGGCAAUCACGAAACGGUAACCAGAGAUAGGAACACCGAACGUUUGAGUGCUUCAACAGCUAUGGAUGAUAUGGUUGCAACUUGGAGACGAAAAAGUAGUGAUUCAUCAAGUUCUCAUAGUUCUGUGAAAGAUAAUAAUGCAACGUCCAUAAAAUCUCUAAACUCAUCUCCCUCUUCUCUGUCAAAUUAUGCUUGUGAAGAAAGAAAGCAUGCUGAUAAAGAAGAUGAUAGAAAUGAUAGUAGUGAAAUAGAGGAUGACAAUGCGACAGCACUUGAUGAUGAAGAGGCAGUGGCUGUCCAAGAGCAAGUUAGACAAAUUAAGGCCCAAGAGGAGGAGUUUGAAACCUUUGACCUCAAAAUUGUGCAUCGAAAAAACAGGUAAGAUUUCUCCCCAACUUUUAUGGUUUAAACUAAAACAGAUAGAAAGUAAGUAAGAAGUUACCUUGUUUAAAAGAGCAUCUGUCUCUGAGUCUCUACUUGUUGCGCUCAGCCCAGAAACAUCAUGUUAAGUAAAACUGUAAUUAGCAUAACUAAUUGAACUAACUAUAUUGCUUCAGUUGAUUUUAACCAUUUUACUUUUGAAAAGUUAUCCCCAAGAUUGAAGUAGUCAAAAUAUUUCGACAUAGCUGAGUGCUGCUCUCUUAUUACUUGUUUGGCAUUUAUCAGGACUGGUUUCGAAGAGGAAAAGAACUUUAACGUGGUUUUAAAUUCGGUCAUUGCUGGGCGGUACCAUGUCACUGAGUACCUUGGAUCAGCAGCCUUCAGUAAAGCCAUACAAGCGCAUGACUUACAGACAGGAAUGGAUGUCUGUAUAAAGAUCAUAAAGAACAACAAAGACUUUUUUGACCAGAGUCUUGACGAGAUAAAACUUUUGAAGUAUGUCAACAAGCAUGAUCCUGCUGACAAAUAC
rnacentral:lncRNA from 1 species